CAUUUCAACAACAAUUGAACACAGACACCGUUGAAACACUGAAGCUGCUGGUGGCGCCGCGGCUACUCCAUCCAAAAUACAGUACCUGACCAGACCAAGGCGACUCGCUUUCAACAAUUAAAUACUUUCUGACCUGUCAGAGAAGGGUUUUUGAAGAUCCAUUGCUGAAGAUCCUUUUGAAAGCGACCCCAGUUGAACCAGGAAGCCAAUGAAAAACAAAAAUAAGGGUGCACCUCUGGGAAGAGGCAGGAGGAAAACCUGUCUAAAUUGCCUGACAAUUACCACCACACACACCAGCCGUGUCGAGUCGUCUGGAGGUUUUCGUAUCUCAUGUCUGAGCGUUACCUGCCGCUAAUGGCAGCAUUCCCCAGACAAGGACUCCUGAAUUAGCAUCUGCCAGUCUGGGAGCGGACUGCGCUAAUCCGCCUGGGACAGGGAAGUGUAGGAAGGGAAGCUUUAAAUUACAUCUUUCGCAGUCAAAAGGAGGAGCACAUGAAAAGGCUGCAUCCUGCCGUCUUAUCAAAUGCCUGGAAGACUGGAGAUCAGUUUUGACAGCACCACAUACACCUUGGAGACUCCUGGAGACCAUCACCAAUUAAAGUUCUUUAAUGAUUUCUUGUAUUAAUAAUAAAUGGCCUGGGUUUGGGGAGGGUGUGUGUCAGAUACCGUAUGUGCGUUUGAGGUCGAGAGGUGUGUGUGCGCCGAACAUGACUUUUAUGUGCGUUACAUCAUGUACAGGGGACUGAGUUUCAUAAUGGUGUCAGUAACAGUUUGUGGCGUUUGUGGUUAUCCCUCUAUCCUAAUGCAAAAAGCUGUUAGAGGCCUCUGAGGAAACUGACUCCACAUUGGGUUACGACUGGAAAUCUGAAGAGUCGACGCCUGCGAAUUGCUGAGGCGGAUGCCGGGAAGCUGGUGCUGCUUGAAAAAAUAUUUUUUUUCCAGGAAAAGGUGCUACCACUAAACUUAUCUUUUGUUCCGAUCUUAUA